rnacentral:tRNA from 1 species
GGGGGAGUGGCGGAAUGGUAGACGCGCUAGUCUUAGGAACUAGUGUCGAAAGACGUGUGGGUUCGAGUCCCUCCUCCCCCACCA